rnacentral:rRNA from 1 species
CUACGGGUUGCAGCAGUGAGGAAUUUUGCGCAAUGGGGGAAACCCUGACGCAGCAACGCCGCGUGAGUGAAGAAGGCCUUUGGGUCGUAAAGCUCUGUCAACAAGGAAGAAAUUAUCAUCUAUUAAUAGUGGAUGGUAUUGACGGUACUUGUGGAGGAAGCGCCGGCUAACUCCGUGCCAGCAGCCGCGGUAACACGGGGGGCGCAAGCGUUAUUCGGAAUUAUUGGGCGUAAAGGGCGCGCAGGCGGUCUUGUCAGUCAGGUGUGAAAGCCCGGGGCUCAACCCUGGAAGUGCACUCGAAACAGCAAGACUUGAAUACGGGAGAGGAAAGCGGAAUUCCUGGUGUAGAGGUGAAAUUCGUAGAUAUCAGGAGGAACACCGAUGGCGAAGGCAGCUUUCCGGACCGAUAUUGACGCUGAGGCGCGAAGGCGUGGGUAGCGAACGGGAUUAGAUACCCGGGUAGUC